rnacentral:rRNA from 1 species
CCUACGGGAGGCAGCAGUGGGGAAUAUUGCACAAUGGGGGAAACCCUGAUGCAGCAACGCCGCGUGAAGGAAGACGGUUUUCGGAUUGUAAACUUCUGUUCUUAGUGAAGAAUAAUGACGGUAGCUAAGGAGCAAGCCACGGCUAAAUACGUGCAAGAAGCCGCGGUAAUACGUAGGUGGCAAGCGUGGUCCGGAAUAACUUGGUGUAAAGGGAGCGCAGGCGGGAAGCCAAGUCAGCUGUGAAAACUACGGGGUUAACUUGUAGACUGCAGUUGAAACUGGUUUUCUUGAGUGAAGUAGGGGUAGGCGGAAUUCCGAGUGUAGCGGUGAAAUGCGUAGAUAUUCGGAGGAACACCGGUGGCGAAGGCGGCCAACUGGGCUUUAACUGACGCUGAGGCUCGAAAGUGUGGGGAGCAAACAGGAUUAGAUACCCCAGUAGUC